UCCGGGGCUGCACGCGCGCUACAAUGAAGGUAGCAAAGUGUGUGAAAACCAUGUCUGAAAAGACUUGGUAAUCACCAAUUAUUUUCGUGCUUGGGAUAGGGGAUUGCAAUUAUUUCCCUUGAACGAGGAAUUUCUAGUAAGUGUGAGUCAUAAGCUCACGUUGAUUACGUCCCUGCCCUUUGUACACACCGCCCGUCGCUACUACCGAUUGGAAGAUCCAGUGAAGAAUAUGGAUUCGAUCUGGAAUAGCUUUACCGCUAGUUCAGUUUUGGAAAAGUUUUCUAAACUGGUUCCUCUAGAGGAAGUAAAAGUCGUAACAAGGUUUCC
rnacentral:rRNA from 1 species